rnacentral:rRNA from 1 species
GUCUGCGGCCAUACCACCCUGAACAUGCCCAAUCUCUUGUCUGAUCUCAGAAGCUAAGCAGGGUCGAGCCUGGUUAGUACUUGGAUGGGAGGAAAGCAGACUAAGGCAAAAA